CACACACACACACAUGCACACGCACCGGCAUGAAAUCCAACUACUCAACUCGAAAGCUAGCGGUAGAAUCAACCCAAGCCACCCUUUCAUACACAAAGCAAUUAUUGGGGGACAUAAAAGGCAUGGGGUGCCGGAGCCUGCAGCGUACCUACGCAGUUUUCAAAGUGGACCGAGCUUGAAGCCAUUCCUUGUAUUUAAAGGUAUCCGUAUAUCCAGUGACCCAGUGUAGACCGUUCUACGGACAUUUCCUUGUAUUUAAAGGUAUCCGUAUAUCCAGUGACCCAGUGUAGACCGUUCUACGGACAUUUCCUUGUAUUUAAAGGUAUCCGUAUAUCCAGUGACCCAGUGUAGACCGUUCUACGGACAUUUCCUUGCCGUUUCUCGAGUGAUAUUUUGUUUUUGGCACAAUGGGGUGCUGCAGCGGCCGAUGCACGCUCAUCUUUCUCUGCUCGAUUCAGCUGAUGGUGGCGUUGGAGAGGCAGGUUUUUGACUUCCUGGGAUACCAAUGGGCGCCCAUUCUGGCCAACUUCUUCCACAUCAUCAUUGUCAUCCUCGGCUUCUUCGGCACUAUACAGUACCGACCACGCUACAUUGUCGUGUACACAGUGUGGACAGCUCUCUGGGUGGCCUGGAAUCUCUUCAUCGUCUGUUUCUACCUGGAUGUGGGAGGCCUGACCAAGGAAAGUGACCUGCUGACGUUUGACAUCUCGGCUCACCACUCGUGGUGGAGGGAGCACGGUCCAGGGUGUGUGAGGAGAGAGAUGACCCAGCCAGGGGUGGCCAUCGUGGACAGCCAGUCUUACAUCUCUGUCAUGGGCUGUCUCAUAGAGUACCAGUACAUAGAGGUCCUACACAGUGCAACACAGAUCCUCAUCGCUCUCCUGGGCUUCGUGUACGCCUGCUACGUCAUUAGCGCCAUCACUGAGGAGGAAGACAGCUUUGAUUUUGUUGGUGGAUUUGACCCCUUCCCUCUCUACCAUGUCAAUGAGAAACCAUCCCAUCUCCUCUUAAAGCCCAUGUACCUGUCUACGUAAAUAGGGCAGAAGGCAACAUUGCAGGUUCCGAUGGAAACAAAGUGGCUGCUCUGACUGACACAACAACCGUCCGAGAAUUCACUGGGGCAGGCCAGACAUUCCUCUGGUUCUCUACAUCUCUUCAGUCCUUCAAACAUAAUGUGUAACUGCCUGGGUCUUUGGAUGUGUCCCUUUAUGAGUAUAAUGGAGUUGCCACUAGACACUAAUCUAAGGUGAGUUUUGGGUUUCAUCCCUCAUUAAGAUUUGAGAAGGGGUGACUGAUCAUAGAUCAGUGCCUAAGAGCACCUCAUCUCCCUGGACUGUCCACUUUCUACCUUAAUCUUCCUGUGUACCACUACUGCCCCCUGCUGUUGAAUGUAGUCAUGUACACAUUCUACUGAAUAUGUUUCUGUUCUGGACUUCAACAAAGCCCUCUGCUUUGUCAUUUAGGGUUUCAUGGCAUACUGUUUAUUGAUAAGAUAUAAUACACCGUUUGGGUUAUUGGCCUACUGGACCCCAUAGAAAGGUCCAGUGUACUACCCUGCAUGUAUGUAUGAAGCCUAUAUCUCACUGUAUACUUCUUUAUCUCCAUGCUUUCCACUCAAUCUUAUACCUGACGCCGUUCAGAAGAACAAAUGUACUUCUUAGUUCCAACUGAAGCCUCUACAUUCAUUUCUAUUUAUUUGUAUCAUUUGUCUUGAUGCAAUCUGCUGUGGCAUGAAUGUGAUGAAUACCCUUGUUAAAUCAAAGCUUGUUUUCUACUUAAUCAAAAGAGCCUUGAACACAGCACAUAUGGAGAUUGAAAUUUGGAUCGGUCUCAUGUUUCCAGCACCUGAUCAACACCUUAUCCCCUUGUGGGCUUGAUAGACAGGCUUCUGAGCUGAUGAUAUGAAAAUCACAGCUGUCUCUCAACUGGUAUUGGCUUCAUAUGAAUGCGUUUGCAGAACAGUGGUAGUGGCUUCAGUGAUGGUGCAAAAAUAAUGAUUGUAAACUAUGGGCCUUGUUCCAAAUGAUAUCCUGAAGUAGUGCACUAUAUAGGGAAUAAGGUAUAAUUUGAGGUGUAAAUGUAACAUUUCAGGACAGUGCAAUGUUACAGAAGAUUCAGAUAUAGAUGUAUUGUUCAAUAGACAUCAUUCUGUCAUAGAUAAUGCCAGCUCUAUGCAUUACAUUUCUAUCUGUAAUACUCUGUUGCACUCCAAUGAAUAAACCCCGAGCUUAUCAAUACCAAGCCAUGGCUGCUUGUCAAUACUUAUGAACAAAGGACCAGAUACACUUUAUGAACUGUAGCCAGGAUCAUUACCAACAGCGAACACACACUGCACAUUAUGUCUUGAUAAAAAAAUAUCUUUAGACACCGAAAAUAAUUAGAUUUACAGGAACAGUUUUUUUCCUUUCAAUGCAAAACAGCGUCUCCAACAGGGAAUGGAAGAGCCUGACAUUGGUUAGUUGGAGCCUAUUGUGGUCAUGUAAUGGAUACCACUGGAAAAAAAGUCCACUUUGUAGAUAAUUGUUUUUCUAUUUGUAUUUAUUUUGUAUCCUCUGUAGUCCUCUUCAUGUGACUCAAUUAUGUAAUCAUAUUUGUCCAGACCUGUGCUGUGUUCAAUAGUGUAAAUAUCAGUUUGUUAAUAAACAAAUGUUGUACUUUUUCUCCC